GACGAACGCUGGCGGCGUGCUUAACACAUGCAAGUCGAACGAAGUGGCGAACGGGUGAGUAACGCGUAAUCAACCUGCCCGUAAGAGGGGGUCAACAGUUGGAAAGGACUGCUAAUACCGCAUACUGAAGGAGGGGAGUGCGUCUGAUGAGCGAGUUGGAGGGGUAACGGCCCACCAAGGCGAUGAUCAGUAGCCGGUCUGAGAGGAUGAACGGCCACAUUGGGACUGAGACACGGCCCAGACUCCUACGGGAGGCAGCAGUGGGGAAUCUUCCGAAAUGGACGAAAGUCUGACGGAGCAACGCCGCGUGAGUGAUGACGGCCUUCGGGUUGUAAAGCUCUGUUAAUCGGGACGCGGUACCGGAAUAGAAAGCCACGGCUAACUACGUGCCAGCAGCCGCGGUAAUAC
rnacentral:rRNA from 1 species